GCCCCAUCCUCCAUUCUCCAGUCUCCUAGGAUACCGGAAUGUUCACAUUAAGACCUUUCUGACCAUCUGACCGGAGAGCUGGGGACUAUGUGUGCACUAAAGAUGCCCAGAAAAACUGCAGUUCUGACUGGCCCAUCCCCAGCACACAGCCAGUAACCCAGCCAGAGCCACCUCCCAGUCCAGUCCAGUCAUAUGCUAUCGAGCCUACAACCUUCUACACCUCUUGCCAAAUACCAGCUCUAGUAAAAUCCACACUACACCAGCCACCUCCUCCAGGAGGACUGCCUUCUUCCACAUUUCCCCCAACUCUCAGGAAACUUCUCUCCUCGAGUAGGCUGAGGUUUCCAGGAAUAGGAAGGUAAGGAGUGUAAGGAUAGAGCCAUGACCAGGGUCUAUGUAAAGGGUUGUCCUGAUCAAUGGCCUUCCUUGAGCCCUGAACUACCGCUACAGUCAGAGGGCAGAAACAAUAUAAGUAUGCACCGAAGGGUGACCAAAUAGAUAUCUUCAGUGGCUGAUAUUUGACCACAGAAAAGGAGCACUCUGACAUAUGGACAAGACUUGAGGGAUGGUUUUAUGGUUAAGAAUACUGGCUUCUUCCGGAGGACCUAGGUUCUUAUCCCGGCACCCACACAAUGGUUCACAACCAUCUGUGACUCCAGUUUUAAGGGAGCUAAUGUCUUCUGGCCUGUGAGGAUACCAGGCACACAAGUGAUGCGUGCAUAUAUAUGGAUGAGCUGCCUCUGUGUGUGUGUGUGUGUGUGUGUGUGUGUAUACACAAGAGGGCCAUGCGGUCUUGGUACACACCUUUAAUCCCAGCACCAGGGGGCAGAGGCAGGUGUAUUUCUGAGUUCAAGGCCAACCUGGUCUACAGAGUGAGUUCCAGGACAGCCAGGGAUACACAGAAAAAGCCUAUAUCUCAACAUACCUUCCUCCUACCCUCAACCCCGCUGCCCUUCCCCCACCCCCACCCCCAAAAAAAAGAAAGGAAGGAAGGAAGAAAAUGUCUGGCUAAGUGAAAAGCCAAAUUAAAAGACAGCUCUGCUGAUUUGGAGUCUGGAAGACCAGACCCUGGAGCAGAGCAGAGGGUGAGCGGCUAGGGCUGGAGUAGAACAGGGAUCAACUGGCUCGUUGCACGGGAGAUGGAAACUGCAUAAGGAAGAUGCUCGCACAGCCAUCCCGUCCACCAAAUGCCAGAAAAGGUCGACCUGGUGCCAGGAGUGGAAAGCUAUUACCAAACACCCUUAUCUACUAACAAGAAGAACAACGCCCUGAGGAGGUGUGAGCACAGACCACAGGUAGGGAAACUGAGGUUGGAGAAGGAAAGACUCUGGUGCUGAAGGAGCUAGAUGGAAAUGAUCUCCUGAAGAGUCUCCGUGGAGUGUGCUUUCCAGCAGACAGGGGCUGGCCCCAUGAUGGAUGGUUUCCCACUUGUCUCCGUCAUCCUCUUUUUCCCCCUUCACCCCACAAUAAACCUCUCUCACACAGAA